AGAGUUUGAUCCUGGCUCAGGACGAACGCUGGCGGCGCGCCUAAUACAUGCAAGUCGAACGGGUACUCUUUGGAGUGCCAGUGGCGGACGGGUGAGUAACACGUGGGUGACCUGCCCUCUGGUGGGGAAUAACUCUGGGAAACCAGAGCUAAUACCGCAUAUGCUCUGUGCUUCGUGGCAUCGAGUAAAGCUUAUGCGCCGGAGGAGGGGCCUGCGCCAGAUUAGCUAGUCGGUGGGGUAACGGCUCACCGAGGCGACGAUCUGUAGCUGGUCUGAGAGGACGACCAGCCACACUGGGACUGAGACACGGCCCAGACUCCUACGGGAGGCAGCAGUAAGGAAUAUUCCACAAUGGGCGCAAGCCUGAUGGAGCGACGCCGCGUGAGCGAAGAAGCCUCUAGGGGUGUAAAGCUCUUUUCAGUGGGAUGACAACGACAGUACCACUGGAAUAAGCCCCGGCUAACUACGUGCCAGCAGCCGCGGUAAUACGUAGGGUCCGAGCGUUGUCCGGAAUUAUUGGGCGUAAAGGGCUUGUAGGCGGUCUGUCACGUCGGAAGUGAAAACUCAGGGCUUAACCCUGAGCCUGCUUCCGAUACGGGCAGACUAGAGGGAUGCAGGGGAGAACGGAAUUCCUGGUGGAGCGGUGGAAUGCGCAGAUAUCAGGAGGAACACCGGUGGCGAAGGCGGUUCUCUGGGCAUUUCCUGACGCUGAGAAGCGAAAGCGUGGGGAGCAAACAGGCUUAGAUACCCUGGUAGUCCACGCCGUAAACGGUGGGCACUAGGUGUGGGGAACAUUCCACGUUCUCCGUGCCGCAGCUAACGCAUUAAGUGCCCCGCCUGGGGAGUACGGCCGCAAGGCUAAAACUCAAAGGAAUUGACGG
rnacentral:rRNA from 1 species